AACCACUAUCCCCCACCCACCACCCAAGACCCAAGUUGCACACCAAAUAUUUAAUUUAAUUUUUAAUUAUUUUAUAUAGUUACAAUAUAAAUUAUACCCCCCCUUCCUCCCACCUUUAAAAACUCUAAGCCCAUCCAAAUUACCCUUCUUCUUCCCCAUCCAUCCUUCCCUUCAACUCCAUCCUAUAACUACAACAAAACCUCAAUUCCGGCCACCAAAUCGAUCGAGAUCGAUGUUUCGAACGCUGGCAAGAUUGCGGAGGAACAUAAGGAAGAGCCCUAGGGUAGCUGAUGAGAGCAUCUUGGGAGGAGGAGGAGGAGGAGGAGGAGGAGGAGGGAUGAACAUGAGGGUAGUAGUUGGUGAUGACCAUCAACAACAAGCGCACACGUUAAACAAGUUCUCUACGGUGGUGAGCCUGGUCCUUGUGCCGUUUUCGAUCUUUGCUUGCCUCUCGCAACCUCAUGUCAAUGGGGCGGACGGGAUGUGGGCAUCGGCGGAGCUUCCACGGCUCUCGGAGGUCAACCAUCUAAUGGUCAAUGAUAGC
rnacentral:lncRNA from 1 species